AGUCGAGCGGAGUGAUGGUGCUUGCACUAUCACUUAGCGGCGGACGGGUGAGUAAUGCUUAGGAAUCUGCCUAUUAGUGGGGGACAACAUUUCGAAAGGAAUGCUAAUACCGCAUACGUCCUACGGGAGAAAGCAGGGGAUCUUCGGACCUUGCGCUAAUAGAUGAGCCUAAGUCGGAUUAGCUAGUUGGUGGGGUAAAGGCCUACCAAGGCGACGAUCUGUAGCGGGUCUGAGAGGAUGAUCCGCCACACUGGGACUGAGACACGGCCCAGACUCCUACGGGAGGCAGCAGUGGGGAAUAUUGGACAAUGGGCGCAAGCCUGAUCCAGCCAUGCCGCGUGUGUGAAGAAGGCCUUAUGGUUGUAAAGCACUUUAAGCGAGGAGGAGGCUACUGAAGUUAAUACCUUCAGAUAGUGGACGUUACUCGCAGAAUAAGCACCGGCUAACUCUGUGC
rnacentral:rRNA from 1 species